GAGGUGGAGAGAGGAGGGGAGGGCAGAGAGGGGAUGGGGCAGGUCUUGCAGGGCCCUGUGAGAGGUGGGAGCCCUGGAGGGCUGUGAGCAGCGGAGGGAGGGGCCCUGACUCAGGUGUUCACAGGCGCCCUCUGGCUGCUGCGGAGGGAACAGACUGGGGCGGGGUGAGGGCGGGAGCCUGGGACCAGGUUGGAGCCCACUGCCCUGGUCCAGGUGGGCGAUGAAGCAGCCGGACCAGUUGGAGGCAGAGGAGGAGAGCAGCCGGCGUGUUUGAGAUGUGUUAUUUCUAUAGAACCCUCUCCUGUUCCUUAACGCGGCUGGACAAGAAUUCUGCCAGCAACUCUUCACCUGCCCCAGGUCAGAAGAGCCAGGUUCCGCCCCCUCUUCACCCCUGAGAUGCUGUGGGACUUGGGGCAAGUCGCAACCCUUCUCUGGGCUUCCUCUUCCCCAUCUGUGUGGUGGACCCAGUGACCUCGGGUCUGGAACUCUGAUUCCUACGCCCCCUGUGCCACCCCAGCUCAGCUGCAGAGAAGGAUCAUUUUGACGGCGCCCAUGGCCUGAGGGUCUGCUCAUGGGGUCCCUAGGCCCUGGGCUGAGGACUUUACACCCUGACAAGCUUGUUCAUCCUCCUAACAGCCCCAAGAGGCCCUGGCUGGGUGACACAAAUGGCUCAGCACUUGACUACUGGCCAAAAGGUUGGUGGUUUGAACCCACCCAGGAAUGCCUUAGAGGAAAAGCCUGGCAAUCUGCUUCUGAAAGAUCAAGGCCUUGAAAACCCUAUGGAACAUAGUUCUACUCUGAUACACUUGGGGUCGCCGUGAGUCAGAAUCGACUUGAUUCGAUGGCAGCUAAAAACCACAAGAACCAACACCUCCAGGAGCUAGGAACCAUCGUUAUCCCCAAUUUACAGAUGAGGAAACUGAGGCUCAGAAAGGCAAAGUCACUUGUCCAGGAUCACACAGCCAAGUAAGGACCUACGGGGGCAGGAGAAGGAGCUGGACCUUCUCUACUGGGUUCUAGUCCAUAUGGACGAAUUUAUUGCCCCUGUUAUUUUGUUCUCAGAGCUAUUCUUGUUCAUUUCGUUAUGUGUUAACUGUGUGGUUUCUCUCUCCUGUGGGACUGGGAUAUCUGAGAGGGCAGCGGAGGGGCCUGUGCUGGUCAGCUGUGUUUCCAGGACCCCAGCACAGGGUGUAGCAUACCGUAGGUGCUCAGUAAAUUAAUUUUCUGCAGUAUAUGAGCACCUACUGUGUGCAGGCCCAGCGCUGGGCUCUGGGGACACACAGAUCUGCUCUCCGCCUUUGUCGAGGUCUUUGGGCCCUGGGGAGGGUGUUGAUUCAUGCAUUUAUGUAUUUCACCAACACUUGUUGACCUCCUAUUAUGUGCAGGCCCUGUGACCCAGCAGUGACCCCGCAGAGACCACACUAGUGGCCACGAAAACCAUACUCUGUCUUCUCGGGGCUUAGGCUGUUACGAGGUGAUCAGGGCUGUGAUGGGGAAGUGCAAGGCCCUGUGGGAGCCCAGAGGGGGCCUGUGGCCAGCCUGGGGGAGAUCGUGGGAAGCUUCUGGAAGGAACAAGUGAGCUGAGUUCUGGUGUAUAAGUCAGAAUGAGCCAUCGACAGGGAAGAAUGUUCUAGAAAGCAUGGGCAAAAGCCUAGGGGGGAGACUGCACAGGGUAGGGCAUUCAGGAUCCUGAAAGCAAUUGCAACCAAAAAACAAACAAACAAACCCCUUGCCAACAAGUCGAUUCGGACUCCGAGCAACCCUACCCACAACAGAAUGAAACACUGCCCAGUCCUGCGCCGUCCUCACAGUCAUUGCUGUGUUUGAGCCCAUUGUUGCAGCCACUCUGUCAGUCCAUCUCCCGAGGGUCUUCUUCUCUCACUGACCCUCUACUUUACCAAGCAUGGUGUCCUUCUCCAGGGACUUGUCCCUCCUGACAACAUGUCCAAAAUACAUGGGACAAAGUCUCACCAUCCUCACUUCCAAGGAGCAUUCUGGCUGCAUUUCUUCCAAGAUAGAUUUGUUAGUCCGUGGCGUAAACAACUGCCAAAACCAAAAACCAAACCCAGUGCCGUCAAGUCGCAGGCGGCCCCAAUUUUCGGGAGUCUGGGGGAAGGUGUGUGUGUGUGAUGUCAGCUAUAACUCACAUCUGCCCAGCGCUCCCUGGGCGGAGGGGUGUGUGUGUGUGUGUGGUGUGUGUGUGGUGUGUGCGGUGUGUGUGAGGUGUGUGUGCAGUGUGGUGUGUGUGGUGUGUGUGCAGUGUGGUGUGUGCGGUGUGUGUGCAGUGUGUGUGGUGUGUGCAGUGUGAGAUGUGUGGUGUGUGUGAUGUGUGUGCGGUGUGUGUGUGGUGUGUGCGUGUGGUGUGUGUGUGUGGUGUGUGUGCGGUGGGUGUGCGGUGUAUGUGUGGUGUGCGUGUGGUGGGUGCGUGUGAUGUGUGUGGUGUGUGUGUGCGAUGUGCGUGUGGUGUGUGUGAUGUAUGUGGUGUGGUGUGGGUGUGCGGUGGGUGUGCGGUGUGUGUGGUGUGCGUGUGGUGGGUGCAUGUGAUGUGUGUGGUGUGUGCGUGUGGUGUGUGUGUGGUGUGUGAUGUUUGUAGUGUGGUGUGGGUGUGUGGUGGGUGUGUGGUGUGUGAUGUGUGUGUGGUGUGUGGUGUGUGGUGUGUGUGUGAGGUGUGUGUGCAGUGUGUGUGGUGUGCGGUGUGAAGUGUGUUGUGUGUGGUGUGCGCGUGUGGUGUGUGUGGUGUGUGUGUGGUGGGUGUGUGUGGUGGGUGAGUGAUGUGUGUGGUGUGUGCGUGUGGUGUGUGUGAUGUGUGUGGUGUGGUCUGUGUGUGGUGGGUGUGUGGUGGGUGAUGUGGUGAGUGAUGUGCUGAGUGUGUGAGGUGUGUGUGUGGUGUGUGUGAUGUGUGCGUGGUGUGUGUGUGGUGUGUGUGCGGUGUGUUUGUGGUCUGUGUGUGUGAUGUUAGCUAUAACUCACAUCUCCCCAGCGCUCCCUGGGGGGAGGGGUGUGUGUGUGUGCGUGGUGUGUGCGUGGUGUGCGCGUGGUGUGUGUGGUGUGUGUGUAUGAUGUGUGUGUGGUGUGGUGGUGUGUGUGGUGUGUGUGUGUGUUUGUGUGUGUGGUGGGUGGUGUGUGUGUGUAUGGAGUAUGUGUGUGAUGUCAGCUAUAAUUCAUAUUGCCCCAGCGCUCCCUGGGAGGAGGGGUGUGGUGUGUGUGUGUGUGUGUGUGUGUGUGUGUGUGUGUGGUUUCAGCUACAAGUCAUGUUGCCCCAGCGACCCCUGGUGGCCAUCCCCAGCUCUGAGGCCAGCGGGCUCCACAUGGCCAGGUGAGUUUCUGGGUGUUUCCUGGGGGAAAUCCCAUGUCCCCUGCAAGCAAAACAACCUAAAAGAAAAAUAAGGGGGGGAAAAUGUUUCCCUUCCUUAGGAGCUGUGGGACGUGAGUACACAAUGGACGAUUCACUUUCGGAGAUCAACAAGCUCACAGCUAGACCAGGCGGGGCAGCUGUAUCCCGGGUUGGAAGUGUUCCGUUUCUGGGAUGUUUGAAGUGUGGUUGUCCCACUUCCGGCGAGACCCCAAGGAGGUGAUGGGACCCACCAAGCAAUUCGGCACCCUGCACAAAGACACAGUCAGCAUAUGCGUAUUUAAAAUCAUUUUCUGAACAGGGAAUACAUUCGAGUGGUUCAAAAUUUAAAAUCCUCCAAAGAGGAGUCAGAGUACAAUUUCCCUCCUUCCUCUGUCCCCAGCCACUCAGGUCUCCUUCCUAGACACAACCAGAGUGACCGGUUUGUGUCCCAACUUCCCCAGCCUGUCCUCCCCGCGGCAGCCAGAGGGCGCCCGUGAGCACCGGAGUCAGGGCCAGUCCCUCCUCUGCUCACAGCCCUCCGGGGCUCCCACCUCCCUGGGGUAAAAGCCCACGUCCUCCCCGAGGCCCACAGGGCCCUGCACGCCCUGCCCCGUUCCUUCUCUCCCCUCCCCACCUUCUCUCUCCUCCUUGCUCACUCCGCUUCAGGCACACGGGGCUCCUCGCUGUUCUCCAAUUUGCUGCCCCAGGGCCUUUGCAUCGGAUGUACCGUUUGCCUGGAAUGCCCUCCCCCAGAUCUCCCCACAGCAGCCUUCCUAGGUUUCUUCAGGUCUCUCCUCAAAUGUCACCUUCUCAGUGGGGGCUUCUCUGAGCACCCCAUUCACAAUUGCACCCACCCAGCUCCCUACUCUGCUCUGUUUACAGAGCACAUAGCACUUAGCUGGCAGGACGAACAUGAUUCACUAGUUUACUGUGCACAUUACGCCUGCCUUCUCCAUGAAGCCAGGGAUUCUGCCUGUGUACAUCACCGCUGGAUCUCAGUGUCUGGCAUACAGUAGGUGCUCAAUGGAUGUUUGUUGAAUUAAUGCUCAAGUCUGCUUUUACCUUUAAAAACAAAAACUUUUGAUGCCAUGUUCCCUGCCCCCUGCCAGCUGGUUCAUUAAAGAGCCUGUGUUAAACGCCGACUGUAUGCCAGGGGACACAGAUGGCAGGGGACACUGCUGUGACUAAGAUCAUUUCCCUGCCCUUAGGGUUCACAGCUCUGUGUGGAAGAUAUACAUCUGAGCGGGGGGUCACAACCAGGGUGACCAGGGCUGUGAUGGGGGCAUGCAGAGGGCAUUAUGGGGCCCCGGCAUUAUGAACCCCCCCCAGGAAUCAGGGGAGGCUUCCUGGAGGAGGAGGCAGAGCUUGAGACUCAAGGGAACAAAGGAUCCACCAGACAGAGCGUACAACACAGGAGGAGUCUCCGUAGUGGGAGGGAGCAUGGCCCUUCAAGGGACGAAAAGGAGCCAGUGCGGGUGAACUGGGUAUAGGAAGGACUUGGGUCCCGCCACCUGGAAGGCAGCGACGCGGCAGUUAUCUGUGGGGCCCAGAGAGCGCUGCAGUGAGCAGAUAGCACCACCAGAGGGCGCUGCUGGAUAGACGUUCCAGCCUCACUCCUUGCCUGGGGCUGAGAAGGCCGGCUUCCUCUUCCCGAGCCUGCAGAGGGACUGGGACGCCCAAAGUGUGUCAAGUUCCAGGCCUGCCAACAGCCCCCUCUCCCCGCUCACAAUUCCAACCUAUGUAACAACAACUCACUACUAUUUUUAGAUAAUUUUAUAUAACUAAAUUAGCAAUGAAAUAAUUUUAAUAAUGGUGUAUUAAUAACACUUCCCCUUAAUAGGGCCUUGACUGUUUCCCAGGCCCUGUACUAGGCAGUUUUCAUGCAACAUCUCCCUGAAUUGUUAGAUCACAGUUCACCCUGUUUCACAUCGGGGAAAACUGAGGCUCCAAGAGGUGGCUUCGCUUUCCAAGGUUACAUGGCGAGACUGCGGAGCUGGGACUAGGGCUGUCAAGGAACCCAGGGCACAGGGUUUAACAGGGCGUUGGCCCUUGGGGUCUGUGGAAAUGGUUUAUCUCACACUGUUGUCUGCAGCCUGGGACCAAAGCCCAGAGAGGGCAGGCAGCUCCCUGAGGACACACAGCAUGUCAUCGUAGUCCUACCCAGUGCUCGCAGCAUCUUCUCCCAGCCCUGGGCCUCACCAGGGCCAUCCCCAAGUGCCCCUGGGCAGGGAUCUUUUAUUUUUAACCUGUUCAGUAGCCUUUUUAUAGCCCUGGGAGGCGGCCACGGUUUCCAGUUUCUAGGGAAGCUUUGGAAAUGUUCUCUUCUCGAGAAAAGAAGCUGCCUGAGGCUUCUCAGGGGAAUGUGGCCCAAUGGCCUCUCGUCCCUGGGCUCUGUCCCAACUGGACAGACCCCACAGACCCCGCUGCAGGCUCUUGCUCCCCUCUGUGCCUGCCCCUGCCUUCAGGGAUCACAGCUGUGUGUGGGAGACAGACACGUGAACAGAGGGUCGGGGUGACCGGGGCUGUGAUGGGGGGCUUAGAGGGCACCAUGGGAGCCUGGGGAGGUAUCUGAACCCACUUAGGAAUCAGAGGAGGCUUUCUGGAGGAGGAGGCAGAGCUUCAAGCUCAAGGGAAGGAAAGAUUCCCUGCUUGGCGCUUGGCUGGAAGUAGCGUGGUAGGCUGGGUCACUCCCUCCCUGGAUGCAGUGUGGCCUUGGCCUGUCCCCACCGUCCCUGGCCCUCAGAAUCCACACCAGUCAGCUGGGGCUGAGACGCUCACUGGUAUCCGGCUGUUUCCCAAACUUGUGUUUCCCAUGUGGGGUCCCUAUUAUCUUGGCUGGCAGUUCUGUACUCCUGUUUGCUUUAUUUCCUAUUACUGGAGUCAUUCAAUGGUUUUCUUUAAAUAAGCUUUAAAAUAAACUUGUUCUUUCCCAGA